AGAACGAACGCUGGCGGCAGGCUUAACACAUGCAAGUCGAACGCUCGUAGCAAUACGGGAGUGGCAGACGGGUGAGUAACGCGUGGGAACAUACCCUUCGGUUCGGAAUAGCUCAGGGAAACUUGGAUUAAUACCGGAUACGGCUGAGAGGCGAAAGAUUUAUCGCCGGAGGAUUGGCCCGCGUUCGAUUAGCUUGUUGGUGAGGUAACGGCUCACCAAGGCGAUGAUCGAUAGCUGGUCUGAGAGGAUGAUCAGCCACAUUGGGACUGAGACACGGCCCAAACUCCUACGGGAGGCAGCAGUGGGAAUAUUGGACAAUGGGCGCAAGCCUGAUCCAGCCAUGCCGCGUGAGUGAUGACGGCCUUAGGGUUGUAAAGCUCUUUCGCUCGGGACGAUAAUGACGGUACCGAGAUAAGAAGCCCCGGCUAACUUCGCGCCAGCAGCCGC
rnacentral:rRNA from 1 species